rnacentral:sRNA from 1 species
UUAGGAACUCAAGGGUGGUCAGCUCAUCCCCAUAUGAAAGGGGGUGGUGCUGUGACAGUAUUUGAAGCAUUAAUGUUUGCAUGUGCUUUUGCAAGCUUAAUCAUCGCUGUUCUGUCAUUUAACCAAAAAAAAUAACCCACCCUUGAGCUAACCGGCUAAGGUGGAUUAUCCUGUUUAUGCUGAUCCCCUUGAAUAGGACCUGCUAUUGUAUUGACCGUUCGGUGUUACCAGCACC